CGGGGGGGGGGCACGGGGGGCCUACGGGAGGGGGGAGUGGGGAAUUUUGGACAAUGGGGGCAAACCUGAUCCAGCCAUGCCGCGUGAGGGAAGAAGGCCUUCGGGUUAUAAACUGCUUUUGUAAGGAAAGAAACGGUCUUGUUUAAUACUGCGGGCUCAUGACGAUACCGAAAGAAUAAGCACCGGCUAACUACGUG
rnacentral:rRNA from 1 species